rnacentral:misc_RNA from 1 species
UACGCAGAGUACUAUAACUCCAUAACCCUUUUGUGAACCUUUAUAACUUGUUGCUUCGGCGGCGCGAGCCCCUCGGGGAGCGUGCCCGCCGGUGUCAUCAGAAUCUCUGUUCGAACCCGACGAUACUUCUGAGUGUUCUAAGGCGAACUGUUA